AACGAACGCUGGCGGCAGGCUUAACACAUGCAAGUCGAACGCCCCGCAAGGGGAGUGGCAGACGGGUGAGUAACGCGUGGGAACCUACCCAGUGGUACGGAACAACCCAGGGAAACUUGG
rnacentral:rRNA from 1 species